UGUCCUCAGGGCGGGGUGUGAUUCCCCACCGGCGGUGUGCCGCGGUCCGACCGCGCGAGCCCGCGACCGGCCUCAGAGCGGGGCCGCUGAUCCGGUGGGACUCCGGAGCCGACGGUGACAGUCCGGACGGAAGAGGACA
rnacentral:ncRNA from 1 species